rnacentral:rRNA from 1 species
UAGGUUAACGAGGCGAACCGGGGGAACUGAAACAUCUAAGUACCCCGAGGAAAAGAAAUCAACCGAGAUUCCCCCAGUAGCGGCGAGCGAACGGGGAGCAGCCCAGAGUCUGAAUCAGCUUGUGUGUUAGUGGAACGGUCUGGAAAGUCCGACGGUACAGGGUGAUAGUCCCGUACACCAAAAUGCACAGGUUGUGAACUCGAAGAGUAGGGCGGGACACGUGGUAUCCUGUCUGAAUAUGGGGGGACCAUCCUCCAAGGCUAAAUACUCCUGACUGACCGAUAGUGAACCAGUACCGUGAGGGAAAGGCGAAAAGAACCCCGGCGAGGGGAGUGAAAAAGAACCUGAAACCGUGUACGUACAAGCAGUGGGAGCACCUUCGGGUGUGACUGCGUACCUUUUGUAUAAUGGGUCAGCGACUUAUAUUCUGUAGCAAGGUUAACCGUAUAGGGGAGCCGCAGGGAAACCGAGUCUUAACUGGGCGUUAAGUUGCAGGGUAUAGACCCGAAACCCGGUGAUCUAGCCAUGGGCAGGUUGAAGGUUGGGUAACACUAACUGGAGGACCGAACCGACUAAUGUUGAAAAAUUAGCGGAUGACUUGUGGCUGGGGGUGAAAGGCCAAUCAAACCGGGAGAUAGCUGGUUCUCCCCGAAAGCUAUUUAGGUAGCGCCUCGUGAACUCAUCUUCGGGGGUAGAGCACUGUUUCGGCUAGGGGGUCAUCCCGACUUACCAACCCGAUGCAAACUACGAAUACCGAAGAAUGUUAUCACGGGAGACACACGGCGGGUGCUAACGUCCGUCGUGAAGAGGGAAACAACCCAGACCGCCAGCUAAGGUCCCAAAGUCACAGUUAAGUGGGAAACGAUGUGGGAAGGCACAGACAGCCAGGAUGUUGGCUUAGAAGCAGCCAUCAUUUAAAGAAAGCGUAAUAGCUCACUGGUCGAGUCGGCCUGCGCGGAAGAUGUAACGGGGCUAAACUGUGCACCGAAGCUGCGGCAGCGACACUAUGUGUUGUUGGGUAGGGGAGCGUUCUGUAAGCCUGCGAAGGUGGCCUGUGAGGGUUGCUGGAGGUAUCAGAAGUGCGAAUGCUGACAUAAGUAACGAUAAUGCGGGUGAAAAGCCCGCACGCCGGAAGACCAAGGGUUCCUGUCCAACGUUAAUCGGGGCAGGGUGAGUCGACCCCUAAGGCGAGGCCGAAAGGCGUAGUCGAUGGGAAACAGGUUAAUAUUCCUGUACUUGGUGUUACUGCGAAGGGGGGACGGAGAAGGCUAUGUUAGCCGGGCGACGGUUGUCCCGGUUUAAGCAUGUAGGCGGAGGUUCCAGGUAAAUCCGGUACCUUUUAACGCUGAGGUGUGAUGACGAGGCACUACGGUGCUGAAGUAACAAAUGCCCUGCUUCCAGGAAAAGCCUCUAAGCAUCAGGUAACAUUGAAUCGUACCCCAAACCGACACAGGUGGUCAGGUAGAGAAUACCAAGGCGCUUGAGAGAACUCGGGUGAAGGAACUAGGCAAAAUGGUGCCGUAACUUCGGGAGAAGGCACGCUGAUAUGUAGGUGAAGCCCCUGCGGGUGGAGCUGAAAUCAGUCGAAGAUACCAGCUGGCUGCAACUGUUUAUUAAAAACACAGCACUGUGCAAACACGAAAGUGGACGUAUACGGUGUGACGCCUGCCCGGUGCCGGAAGGUUAAUUGAUGGGGUUAUCCGUAAGGAGAAGCUCUUGAUCGAAGCCCCGGUAAACGGCGGCCGUAACUAUAACGGUCCUAAGGUAGCGAAAUUCCUUGUCGGGUAAGUUCCGACCUGCACGAAUGGCGUAAUGAUGGCCAGGCUGUCUCCACCCGAGACUCAGUGAAAUUGAACUCGCUGUGAAGAUGCAGUGUACCCGCGGCAAGACGGAAAGACCCCGUGAACCUUUACUAUAGCUUGACACUGAACAUUGAGCCUUGAUGUGUAGGAUAGGUGGGAGGCUUUGAAGCGUGGACGCCAGUCUGCGUGGAGCCAACCUUGAAAUACCACCCUUUAAUGUUU